rnacentral:piRNA from 1 species
ACAAGUGGCUUCCCUGGUCCGUGCC